rnacentral:tRNA from 1 species
UGGGCUAUGGCUCAGUGGCAGAGCAUUUUGCCUGGUAAGCAUGAGGUGCUGGGUUCAAUCCCCGGCACCGCAG